AUACUAAUACAGGUGGCUUAUGGCUCUUGUAAUUGGAAUGAGUACAAUUUAAAUCUCUUAACGAGGAACAAUUGGAGGGCAAGUCUGGUGCCAGCAGCCGCGGUAAUUCCAGCUCCAAUAGCGUAUAUUAAAGUUGUUGCAGUUAAAAAGCUCGUAGUUGAAYYYYGGACYUGGUAGGCUGGUCUGCCUCCUCGCAUGUACUGGUUUGGCUGGGUCUUUCCUUCUGGGUACCCGCAUGCCCUUCACUGGGUGUGUUGGGGAACCAGGACUUUUACUUUGAAAAAAUUAGAGUGUUCAAAGCAGGCAUUAGCUCGAAUACAUUAGCAUGGAAUAAUAGAAUAGGACGUGUGGUUCUAUUUUGUUGGUUUCUAGGACCACCGUAAUGAUUAAUAGGGAUAGUCGGGGGCAUCAGUAUUCAAUCGUCAGAGGUGAAAUUCUUGGAUCGAUUGAAGACUAACUACUGCGAAAGCAUUUGCCAAGGAUGUUUUCAUUAAUCAGUGAACGAAAGUUAGGGGAUCGAAGACGAUCAGAUACCGUCGUAGUCUUAACCAUAAACUAUGCCAACUAGGGAUUGGGCGAUGUUUUUUUUUUGACUUGCUCAGCACCUUACGAGAAAUCAAAGUUUUUGGGUUCUGGGGGGAGUAUGGUCGCAAGGCUGAAACUUAAAGGAAUUGACGGAAGGGCACCACCAGGAGUGGAGCCUGCGGCUUAAUUUGACUCAACACGGGGAAACUCACCAGGUCCAGACACAUUAAGGAUUGACAGAUUGAGAGCUCUUUCUUGAUUAUGUGGGUGGUGGUGCAUGGCCGUUCUUAGUUGGUGGAGUGAUUUGUCUGCUUAAUUGCGAUAACGAACGAGACCUUAACCUCUAAAUAGUCAGGCCAGCUUCGGCUGGUCGCAGGCUUCUUAGAGGGACUAUCGGCUUCAAGCCGAUGGAAGUUUGAGGCAAUAACAGGUCUGUGAUGCCCUUAGAUGUUCU
rnacentral:rRNA from 1 species